rnacentral:tRNA from 1 species
GCCUUCGUGGUGUAGUGGUCAGCACACUGGACGCGUAACCGAGAGGUCCGUGGUUCGAUUCUCAGCGAAGGCG